rnacentral:rRNA from 1 species
AUUGAACGCUGGCGGCAGGCCUAACACAUGCAAGUCGGACGGUAGCACAGAGAGCUUGCUCUUGGGUGACGAGUGGCGGACGGGUGAGUAAUGUCUGGGGAUCUGCCCGAUAGAGGGGGAUAACCACUGGAAACGGUGGCUAAUACCGCAUAACGUCGCAAGACCAAAGAGGGGGACCUUCGGGCCUCUCACUAUCGGAUGAACCCAGAUGGGAUUAGCUAGUAGGCGGGGUAAUGGCCCACCUAGGCGACGAUCCCUAGCUGGUCUGAGGGGAUGACCAGCCACACUGGAACUGAGACACGGUCCAGACUCCUACGGGAGGCAGAAGUGGGGAAUAUUGCACAAUGGGCGCAAGCCUGAUGCAGCCAUGCCGCGUGUAUGAAGAAGGCCUUCGGGUUGUAAAGUACUUUCAGCGGGGAGGAAGGCGAUGCGGUUAAUAACCGCGUCGAUUGACGUUACCCGCAGAAGAAGCACCGGCUAACUCCGUGCCAGCCGCCGCCGUAA